AAGAGUGCACCAUCAAGUGACUCUGAAUUUGAAGCUGAAAAGGAUGACUCAAGCAUCAAGCCUCCUGCUAAGAAGGCUAUGUCUGCUAAGAAGGCCAUGCCUCAGUCUGUUGCUCCUGACAUUGAAGACUUUCCUUGUGACAAUGUUUCAUUUCAUCUUCCAUCUUAUGCUCAACGAUGGGGAAUCAUUUGCAAAAGAAGAUUGGCUCUGGAAAGGGAACUAGGCAAAGA
rnacentral:lncRNA from 1 species